rnacentral:rRNA from 1 species
UACAGAGGUCUCAAGCGUUGUUCGGAUUCAUUGGGCGUAAAGGGUGCGUAGGCGGCGCCGUAAGUCUGGUGUGAAAUCCCGGAGCUCAACUCCGGAAUUGCACUGGAUACUGCGGUGCUCGAGGACUGGAGAGGAGACUGGAAUUCACGGUGUAGCAGUGAAAUGCGUAGAUAUCGUGAGGAAGACCGGUGGCGAAGGCGGGUCUCUGGACAGUUCCUGACGCUGAGGCACGAAGGCCAGGGGAGCAAACGGG